GCCAUUGAGUUGCUUGCUGCAUGCCAAGGAUUAGAAUUUUUACGACCACUUAAAUCAACUGAACCACUUGAAGCUGUAUACCGUACUGUACGCUCAGUUGUUCGAGCGUAUGAUACAGAUCGUUUUAUGGCUCCUGAUAUAGAAGCAGUAGUUAAGUUGCUACAAGAAGAAAAGAUUUGGAACGCUGUUGAACCAUAUAUCAAACUCUAUGAUAUCGAAAUGGAAAAAAAGAAUGAAGAGUUUGUACAGCCUCUAAGUAGUUAAAUGGUAGAUUCACCAUCGUGCGCCUAACCAACAUUGAAGAAAAAAAAUAGUUUUGUAACA
rnacentral:lncRNA from 1 species